rnacentral:rRNA from 1 species
AGAAGUCGGGAUGACGUCAAGUCCUCAUGGCCUUUAUGACCAGGGCUACACACGUACUACAAUGGCCGGUACAAAGGGCAGCGACACAGCGAUGUGAAGCGAAUCCCGAAAAAGCCGGUCUCAGUCCGGAUUGGAGUCUGCAACUCGACUCCAUGAAGUUGGAAUCGCUAGUAAUCGCGGAUCAGCACGCCGCGGUGAAUACGUUCCCGGGCCUU